UACUCCCGCCGGCGACCGGCGCACGGGUGAGUAACACGUAUGAAACCUGCCCGUAGCAGGGGGAUAAGCGGAAGAAAUUCCGUCUAAUACCGCGUAACAACCCGAGGAGGCAUCUCCUCGGGUUUAAAGGAAGCGAUUCCGGCUACGGAUGGUCAUGCGUCGCAUUAGCUAGUUGGCGGGGUAACGGCCCACCAAGCCGACGAUGCGUAGGGGUUCUGAGAGGAAGGUCCCCCACAUUGGAACUGAGACACGGUCCAAACUCCUACGGAAGGCAGCAG
rnacentral:rRNA from 1 species